UCCACUGUGCGUACGCAGGGGCUUCUCCCACUUGAGAGAAGAAAGAUUCAUUGGAAUAACGUAGCAUGCAUUCAUCAUACCAAAUGAUCGACACCUUCUCUUUAGGGCAAUAUUGAACAAUAUCUUUGCUAGCAGCCAGGACACAUUCUUGGCAGACACCUUUCAAGAGGACAAUAUCCCCCCGACAAAGGAAAAGGCCGUAGGCCAUGUUGGAAGGGUCUUGACCGGCGGUGGUGUAGUAGAAUCCCUUCUCUUGUGUUGCAUUAGAAGAAAGAAAAAA
rnacentral:misc_RNA from 1 species